rnacentral:rRNA from 1 species
CCUACGGGAGGCAGCAGUGAGGAAUAUUGGUCAAUGGACGAGAGUCUGAACCAGCCAAGUAGCGUGAAGGAUGACGGCCCUAUGGGUUGUAAACUUCUUUUAUAGGGGAGUAAAAGGUGCCACGUGUGGGGUUUUGUAUGUACCAGAUGAAAAAGGAUCGGCUAACUCCGUGCCAGCAUCCGCGGUAAUACGGAGGAUCCGAGCGUUAUCCGGAUUUAUUGGGUUUACAGGGAGCGUAGGUGGAUUGUUAAGUCAGUGGUGAAAGUUUGCGGCCCCACCGUCAACUGGCCGUUGAAACUGGUAGUCUUGAGUACACUAGAGGUGCUCGGACUUCGUGGUGUCGCGGUGACAUGCUUAGAUAUCACGCAGAACUCCGAUUGCGAAGGCAGCUCACUGGCCUGCAACUGACACUCAGGCUCGAAAGUGUGGGUAUCAAACAGGAUUAGAUACCCUUGUAGUC